AUACGGAGGGUGCGAGCGUUACUCGGAGUCACUGGGCGUAAAGCGUCCGUAGGCGGUCGGGUAAGUCGGGUGUGAAAGCCCCGGGCUCAACCUGGGAAGUGCACCCGAUACUGCUCGACUCGAGUGCGGGAGAGGAUGGCGGAAUUCCCGGCGUAGCGGUGAAAUGCGUAGAGAUCGGGAGGAACACCAGUGGCGAAGGCGGCCAUCUGGCCCGCAACUGACGCUGAGGGACGAAAGCGUGGGGAGCAAACAGGAUUAGAAACCCUAGUAGUCC
rnacentral:rRNA from 1 species